rnacentral:rRNA from 1 species
GACGAACGCUGGCGGCGUGCCUAAUACAUGCAAGUCGAACGCAGUUGCGAACGGGUGAGUAACGCGUAGGUAACUGCCUCAUAGCGGGGGAUAACUAUUGGAAACGAUAGCUAAUACCGCAUACUGUGAGAUGGACCUGCGUUGUAUUAGCUAGUUGGUGAGGUAAAGGCUCACCAAGGCGACGAUACAUAGCCGACCUGAGAGGGGGGGCGGCCAACAUGGGACGGAGAACCGGGCCAUGAUCCUAAGGGGAGCAGCAGUAGGGAAUCUUAGGACAUGGACGGAAGUCUGACCGAGCAAAGCCGCGGGAGUGAAGAAGGGUUUCGGGUCGUAAAGCUCUGUUGUUAGAGAAGCGGUAACUAAACAGAAAGGAACGGCUAACUACGUGCCAGCAGCCGCGGUAAUUC